rnacentral:rRNA from 1 species
GCAUAAUCACUAGUUUUUUAAUUGAAAGCUUGAAUGAAGGGUUGGACGAGAAGUUAGCUGUCUUUAUUAAAAAAAUAGAAUUUAACUUUUAAGUGAGAGGGCUUAAAUAUUUUAGGGGGACGAUAAGACCCUAUAAAAUUUAACAAUUGGGGGAUUAAUAGGGAGUAAGAUAAAGUUAAAGGUAUUAUUAGAGAACGUAUUGUUUUGUUGGGGCGACGGGAAUAUAAGUGAAUUAACUGUUCUUUAAUUAAAUUUCAUUAAUGUUUGUAAUUUGUGGUCCUUAUUAGAGAUGGGAAGAAGAAAAUUACUUUAGGGAUAACAGCGUAAUUUUUUUUGAGAGUUCUUAUCGACAAAAAAGUUUGCGACCUCGAUGUUGAAUUAA